ensembl:lncRNA
AAAAACAAAGGAGUUAGAUUAGUUUGAGGAACAGGAAAUAUUGCUCUGUCUACCGGGGCUGCAGCGACAGGAAAUAGUGAACAGGAACUGUGCAUGCCCAUAUAUGGGAACUGAGUGUGUACAGAAAGAACACAGAGAGAGAGAUUUAACUCUAGGCACAUGAAGCAAAUGAAGCCUUUAAGAAAAAUGUAUAUAUUACUAAUUAUAUGGUUUAGUGUGUCAAUACAGGUGGGCGUCUUUCAACUUUGCAACCUUGAGUUCAGCAGCAGAAAAGUAGAUUAAAAGAAUUGGGAGAAAAUAAGCCAGUCUUUGGCUCGAAAUUGUGCAGCUUGAGCUCUUACUUUGUCCUUCACCCCGAGAAGACACGCAAAAGACAGUUAAUCACCUGAUGAAGACAGAUAGAACAUCGUGGGCUUGAAUACAGCAGGCAAACGACAGGGCCACUGAUCCAUUAACACUGAUGACGACUGACGACCAGCAGCAGCAUGUAAGACUAAUGCAACAUGUACUGUGAAAAUACAGGCUGGGCAGUUGAACAGUGGGAUAAAGAAUUGUGGAAGAGCACUGGACAUUGAGUGAUAUUUUGCCAUGCUGGGACUUAAUCUGAAAGAAAAGACUGUAAAGAAACAGAGAAGAAGACAGCAGCUGAGUUGAGACUGUGUUUGCUGGAGCUUUGAAGCCCGAACAGGACAUUGUGCAGAGAGGACCAGUGAGAGAUGAAGCUGGACGAGUUUGACUGCGAGAAUAUAGGAUAUAAUUGGAUUGAAAAUUGAAGCCUGAACUCAUGAAUUGUUUAGGGAUGUCCACUACAGCAUAACAAAGAGGUAAACAUUAGAAAAGGCCUGGAAGAGAGUGAACUGACGGCGCGGACAAAUUACCAAGUAAGGAUUGCAGCGAGUCAAUCCAGUCAAAAGUAUAGAGAACUAUUUUCCUAAAAAGGAAAAACGAAAUAAAACAAAUGAUUGAGCUCAUUUUGCUGAUGUGGAGCAUCUGAUCACGUGCGCAGAAGGCUGCAGAUCAGCAAAAAUAUCAUGUGUGAAUGCAUGGGAGUGAAUGUGAGUGAUGGGACCAAGAGGG